rnacentral:rRNA from 1 species
GACGAACGCUGGCGGCGUGCCUAAUACAUGCGAGUUGAGCGCUGAAGGUUGGUACUUGUACCAACUGGAUGAGCAGCGAACGGGUGAGUAACGCGUGGGGAAUCUGCCUUUGAGCGGGGGACAACAUUUGGAAACGAAUGCUAAUACCGCAUAAAAACUUUAAACACAAGUUUUAAGUUUGAAAGAUGCAAUUGCAUCACUCAAAGAUGAUCCCGCGUUGUAUUAGCUAGUUGGUGAGGUAAAGGCUCACCAAGGCGAUGAUACAUAGCCGACCUGAGAGGGUGAUCGGCCACAUUGGGACUGAGACACGGCCCAAACGCCUACGGGAGGCAGCAGUAGGGAAUCUUCGGCAAUGGACGAAAGUCUGACCGAGCAACGCCGCGUGAGUGAAGAAGGUUUUCGGAUCGUAAAACUCUGUUGGUAGAGAAGAACGUUGGUGAGAGUGGAAAGCUCAUCAAGUGACGGUAACUACCCAGAAAGGGACGGCUAACUACGUG